AAUAAAUUUACUUUUUAGUUUUUGGAUACAAUGGUUGACUAUUUGUCUAAUUUGAUUUUUUAUGAUUAAUAUUUUUAUUGUUAUUAGAUGAUAAAAUAUGAAUAAUACUUUACGCGUGACUAAUUUUUUAAAGUAUUUUUAUAUUUUUUUCUAAUAAGACAGAUAGUCAAACGCUAAACACAUAAAU
rnacentral:pre_miRNA from 1 species